ensembl:lncRNA
CUCUGGCUGUAGAUAUGGAUUCAGGCCCUGGGGCCAGUGUCCACCUCUGUGGCUGUGGCUUUAGGCCCUAGAUCUUGUGUCAGCCUAUGACAACGUGCAUUUGAAAAUGGUUCGUGUAAGGAAAUGAAAGCAAGAGAACACGGAGCUCUUCUGGGUAUUUCUAGAAUUGCGAAAGGGAUCGGAGAGCGUGCUCAGCCUUGGGUGGCUGGUUGUAUCCAGCAAUCCCUACCACAGUUGUAAACAUCACUAAAUCUUUGUUAUCCUGCUUGCCAGGAUUUGGAUGGGACAAGAAGCCAACGACUAUCAGUUUAGGGGAGGUAAUGAAUGUUAGCCGCUCCCCUUUCUUCUCCCCUUGCUACUUAGGUUACACAGUUCUUCUGUGCGAUGUGCCGGUGCAAUACCUCUGAGCGACCAUUUUGACGGGUUCAGCAAUGCUUGGGGCAACAGGCUUUGGUCAUCCUCAGAUUUACAUGACGAGAGAGACUGAAAGAAAAAUAAAAUAGGAGGUAAUAGUCCUUUCUCUUCUUCUACUCAGCAUGCGGUAACUAAAGCUUCCAUACUAUGCUUUUUGCCUUGAUAGGGGUGUUCCCUGAACCUCACACCUUUAGCACAGCACUUUCUGUUGAGAUUCCCGCCAACAGAGAAAUAUUAGUGCCAGUCCUCUGCCUCUUUUUGUCUCUGUUGUCUGGAUUUCAUUUAGUGGCCCACGAACAGAGCCAGGACAGCCAAGCCCUGCAGGUGGAGGCAGGGACCAGGCUCAGGAGCAAGGGCAGAGUGGUUUCUUUGUUUCUAAAGGGAAUGACAGUGUUUUCUGCAGGUGGAUUUGCCACAGCCUUUCUUACAAGGACUGAGAGUGGGAUGAGAAGUGCCCUGAAGUUGCAAGUAGGCAAAAGAGCAAUGCAAAUCAAGGUAACUGUGUUGGAGGCCCUGCCUGGGAGCAGAGUGACGUGAGAGCCCCACCACCUUCUGCUUAGGAGCUGUGUAGAGUCCCCAUCCCAAAUGGCGUGUUUCCUUAGCAAAACGGUUGUUCUUCUGGAAAGCCCCAGCUCCUCGCGUUAGAUUACUACGUGAAGAAUCCCAGGCUGAAUUAUUUAGAACUACUUUUUUGUUAGUGGUCAAGUAAAACACGGCAACAGAGGCAGCGGGGGGUAACCUCAGGAAAAAGAGGGGACAAAAACAUCUCCUGUGUCAAGGCCUGACUUGAUGAGAAAGGAAGAGCUGUGGAAGUGUGCGUGGUUGGAGGUGUCCAUCUCCUAGACUGCACCCAGAGGAGGAGAAUGAUUCUGGCUCUGCAGUCUCGGAACUCCAGGCAAUACACACAGGGAAGGAUUUCUGGGCUGAGAUGAAUUUAUAUCUCUGCAGCUUCUAAUCUUUUGCAUGUGGCGUUCUCAUGCAGUGAAGCUUUUGGACAUGGUUUAUCGUCACCGUAGCUGACCUGCAUGGGAAAAGAUGCCAUUAGGUCUCACAUGAAAGCUUUUAACCAAGCUUUGACUUGCCAGUGCUUUCCGUUGUCUCCACUUGCCUGGUGCCUCCUUGAAAAGUAUGUCUCGUGUGGAAAUCUCUAGAAAAAAAGCUAUUUCCUAGCUUUUGUGCAAUAAAGAAGCAUUUGCAACAUUGCUUCUUGCAGCAGUACGGUGUUUCAGAAGAGAGAAAAACACAGCUGGCAUCAACUGGAUUUCUGUUGUUGGUAAAGCUGGGCUGAGCUCUAGACUGACUCUUGCACCUGGGAAUGCGAGCAAAGCCUGCAGACACAGAGGAAUAACUUUUCCCUGCAGGCUGAGCAUGCCAGAGGCAGGUCAUUGCUAGGAGAGCUGGUGCUUUAAAGCAGCAGGUCGUACAGAGAAGGUAAUUCUAAAAGCAAGCUUGCCAGUUCUUUUUUACCUCAGUGGUUUCUGAGCAAGGAAAGAGUUGAGAUGCUGUUUGCUCGUGGAAGACGGGGAGAGGAAAAGCAAGGAAAAGGCAUGCUGUGCAUAGCCAGCGCAUUGCACCUGCACCGGUCUUCCCCUGCACAAAGGAGGAGCAGCUCAGCGAGCUUCGCCUGGGCCAUGGAAGGGAACAUCCAAACGUCCGGAGCAACCCCAAACGAGUUAGCUGUGGAGGCUGGUUGUUUUCUGCUGUUUGUCUCAUCCUUCUGGAAAGAAGCAGGAGGAGACAGAGCUCAGAUUUGAUCCCGCUGUGCGUGAUGGUUAAUGCCAAGGGACAGAAGUGUGUGCUUAGGCAGGGGAGAAGCUAGGAAAGCUGAGCAUCGUAGAGGAACGAGAUUAAAACAGAGCUCAUUCUACACAGCAGUUCAGCACGUUGAAGGGAUUUAUCUUCCCUUCUACCAGUGUAGAAGCUAC